rnacentral:rRNA from 1 species
GACAAACGCUGGCGGCGUGCCUAAUACAUGCAAGUCGAACGACGAAAGCCUUCGGGCAAGUAAGAGUGGCGCACGGGCGAGGAACACGUAGAUAAUCUGCCCUUCAGUGGGGAAUAACUCUCCGAAAGGAGUGCUAAUACCGCAUAAGACCACAAGGCCUGCGGGCCGAAGGGGUUAAAGGAUUUAUUCGCUGAAGGAUG